rnacentral:rRNA from 1 species
UACGUAGGGUGCAAGCGUUAUUCGGAAUUACUGGGCGUAAAGCGCGCGUAGGCGGCUUUGCAAGACAGAUGUGAAAUCCCCGGGCUUAACCUGGGAACUGCAUUUGUGACUGCAUGGCUGGAGUGCGGCAGAGGGGGAUGGAAUUCCGCGUGUAGCAGUGAAAUGCGUAGAUAUGCGGAGGAACACCGAUGGCGAAGGCAAUCCCCUGGGCCUGCACUGACGCUCAUGCACGAAAGCGUGGGGAGCGAACAGG